AGCUAGUGUGGUGAAGUGGUUUGCACACUGGACUAUGACUCUGGCAAUUAGGGUUCAAUUCCCCACUUGGCCA